rnacentral:rRNA from 1 species
GAUGAACGCUAGCUACAGGCUUAACACAUGCAAGUCGAGCGACCGGCGCACGGGUGAGUAACACGUAUCCAACCUGCCCUUUACUCGGGGAUAGCCUUUCGAAAGAAAGAUUAAUACCCGAUAUAAAGGAUGGGGAUGCGUUCCUUUAGGUUGUUGGUGAGGUAACGGCGCACCAAGCCUUCGAUGGAUAGGGGUUCUGAGAGGAAGGAAACCCGCGAUGGAAAUGAGGCACAGACCAAAAAGGGAGGGGAGGGAGGAGAGAGGAAUAAAGGGGAAGGAGCGGUAACCUGAACCAGCCAAGUAGAGUGAAGGAGGAAGGGGUAGGGGAAGUAAACUUCUUUUAUAUAAGAAUAGGUAUUAAAUGAAUAAGGAUCGGCUAACUACGUGCCAGCAGCCGCGGUAAUAC